CCUACGGGAGGCAGCAGUGGGGGAUAUUGCACAAUGGGGGGAACCCUGAUGCAGCGACGCCGCGUGGGUGAAGAAGCGCCUCGGCGCGUAAAGCCCUGUCAGCAGGGAAGAAAAUGACGGUACCUGAAGAAGAAGCCCCGGCUAACUACGUGCCAGCAGCCGCGGUAAUACGGAGGGGGCAAGCUGUAUCCGGAUUGACUGGGGUGAAAGGGGGCGCAGACGGCGAUGCAAGCCAGGAGUGAAAGCCCGGGGCCCAACCCCGGGACUGCUCUUGGAACUGGGUGGCUGGAGUGCAGGAGGGGCAGGCGGAAUUCCUGGUGUAGCGGUGAAAUGCGUAGAUAUCAGGAGGAACACCGGUGGCGAAGGCGGCCUGCUGGACUGCAACUGACGUUGAGGCCCGAAAGCGUGGGGAGCAAACAGGAUUAGAUACCCUUGUAGUC
rnacentral:rRNA from 1 species